UGGGGAAUCUUGCACAAUGGGGGCAACCCUGAUGCAGCGACGCCGCGUGAGCGAUGAAGCCCUUCGGGGCGUAAAGCUCUUUCGACCGGAACGAUAAUGACGGUACCGGGAGAAGAAGCUGCGGCUAACUACGUGCCAGCAGCCGCGGUAAUACGUAGGCAGCAAGCGUUGUUCGGAGUUACUGGGCGUAAAGAGUGCGCAGGCGGUUUUCUAAGUUCGGUGUGAAAUCUCCCGGCUUAACUGGGAGGGUGCGCCGAAGACUGGGAAGCUGGAGUGUGGGAAAGGCAGGCGGAAUUCCUGGUGUAGCGGUGAAAUGCGUAGAUAUCAGGAGGAACACCGGCGGUGUAGACGGCUUGCUAGACCAUAACUGACGCUGAGGCACGAAAGCGUGGGUAGCAAACA
rnacentral:rRNA from 1 species